AUACGGAGGAUGCAAGCGUUAUCCGGAUUUAUUGGGUUUAAAGGGUGCGUAGGCGGUUUGCUAAGCGGGCGGUGAAAUGCCGGCGCUCAACGUCGGAAGUGCCUCCCGAACUGGUGGACUUGAAUGACUCUGCCGUGGGAGGAAUGUGUAGUGUAGCGGUGGAAUGCUUAGAUAUCAUGAAGAACUCCGAUUGCGAAGGCAGUCCGCUGGGGCACGUCUGACGCUGAUGCUCGAAGGUGCGGGAAUCAAACAGGAUUAGAUACCCUGGUAGUCCGCACGGUAAACGAUGAUUACCCGCUGUCGGCGGUAGACAGUCGGCGGCCAAGCGAAAGCGAUAAGUAAUCCACCUGGGGAGUACGCCGGCAACGGUGAAACUUAAAGGAAUUGACGGGG
rnacentral:rRNA from 1 species